UUAAAAUAGGCUAAAUUAAGCUUUUGGGCUCAUACCUCAAAUAUAAAGACUCUCUUUUUUUAAA
rnacentral:tRNA from 1 species